rnacentral:lncRNA from 1 species
CCUUUGGAAGCCAUCAGCAAGCUCUGUGACCAUCAGAGCUAUUAUCUGUGAUCAUAUACAUAACCUGAAGAUAGCAUAUCAUACUUUUUUUUAAUACUUUCAACUCCAAAAGGCUUUGGGCUUGUAAAAACAUAGUUUCAAAGAUUUUUAUUUUAUCAGCCACCAUCUCCAUUUUUACCUAUCCUUCCCAUAAAUGCAAGGAUAUGUUUUAGUUCUGAAACAUGAAAGUUAAUUUGAUUUUAUCCUGCAACUCUUGAGAACUGAUCUUUCUAGCCAGCAUAAAGAAAGUAUACUGACACAAAAAUCUUCAGAAAAAAUAUAGGAGGAUUAAAUACUCAAUUACUUCCAGGAUUGCUUACUCCUUUCCAAAGGGACUGCAAACCCCUUUCCAGAAGGAAAUUUCAAACUAAAAAAUUUUCUUUCAAUCAGAAGUUCAGUGAUUUUACUGCCAUCUAAAGUAAAUUAACUUUGAAAAUAAGUAUAAAAAUUAUAAUUGUAAUUUAUUGAUUCAAAAUUUUGUAUUUGGCAUUCCUUCUCAAAAAUUGUAGUCCAAUAUAAAAUUAGGCCAUGUGGAAAACAGUAAAGGCCUUUACUAGAUAUUCCUAGAAAACACUGAAGCAAGUACUAAAUAAAAUAAAAAUAAGAUGUUUUUGAAGGGAGAAUCUCGUAUA